GCGGGGUACCUCCAGAAUAUCCUCCAUGGCAUCCUCACCAACCUCAACUGCGACAGGAUCCUCAACAAGGAGUCCUACCACUUCUGUAAUUCUACGCGUCUCAUGUUAUCUGCGUGUUAAGACCGACUCUACAUUACUAAUGCAACUGAUGAAGGAUAUGUUUUCAGAUUUGCCACCAUCCACCACUAGCGAUGAUGUUUUUACACACAUCAUAUUAUGCUUGUCUGAUAAGAUUCCAGCUGAAUUAUUUAGAGAAGUUUUGGCUCUUAUAGAUUUAGACACUAGUGCACAGGUUGGACUUGCUGGAGGAAGCAGUAGUGGUGUGCAGAGGAGGGAUAUUGACGACGACGACGAUGACUCGUGAUUUUCUGUAGUUGGAUGACUCUCUACGUGUUGAUACCAUCAGCUGUAUCGACAAUGAUCCCAUGUGAGUUGAUUAUGAAUUGGA